UACGUAGGGGGCGAGCGUUGUCCGGAUUUAUUGGGCGUAAAGAGCGUGUAGGCGGCCAGGUAGGUCUGCUGUGAAAACUCGAGGCUCAACCUCGAGACGUCGGCGGAAACCAUCUGGCUAGAGUCCGGAAGAGGAGAGUGGAAUUCCUGGUGUAGCGGUGAAAUGCGCAGAUAUCAGGAGGAACACCAGUGGCGAAGGCGGCUCACUGGUCCGGUACUGACGCUGAGGUGCGAAAGCGUGGGGAGCAAACAGG
rnacentral:rRNA from 1 species